CUGUGGAUCAGUGGCGAACGGGUGAGUAACACGUGAGCAACCUGCCCCUGACUCUGGGAUAAGCGCUGGAAACGGCGUCUAAUACCGGAUAUGAGCUGCGAUCGCAUGGUCAGCAGUUGGAAAGAUUUUUCGGUCUGGGAUGGGCUCACGGCCUAUCAGCUUGUUGGUGAGGUAAUGGCUCACCAAGGCGUCGACGGGUAGCCGGCCUGAGAGGGUGACCGGCCACACUGGGACUGAGACACGGCCCAGACUCCUACGGGAGGCAGCAGUGGGGAAUAUUGCACAAUGGGCGAAAGCCUGAUGCAGCAACGCCGCGUGAGGGAUGACGGCCUUCGGGUUGUAAACCUCUUUUAGCAGGGAAGAAGCGAAAGUGACGGUACCUGCAGAAAAAGCGCCGGCUAACUACGUGCCAGCAGCCGCGGUAAUACGUAGGGCGCAAGCGUUAUCCGGAAUUAUUGGGCGUAAAGAGCUCGUAGGCGGUUUGUCGCGUCUGCUGUGAAAUCCCGAGGCUCAACCUCGGGUCUGCAGUGGGUACGGGCAGACUAGAGUGCGGUAGGGGAGAUUGGAAUUCCUGGUGUAGCGGUGGAAUGCGCAGAUAUCAGGAGGAACACCGAUGGCGAAGGCAGAUCUCUGGGCCGUUACUGACGCUGAGGAGCGAAAGGGUGGGGAGCAAACAGGCUUAGAUACCCUGGUAGUCCACCCCGUAAACGUUGGGAACUAGUUGUGGGGUCCAUUCCACGGAUUCCGUGACGCAGCUAACGCAUUAAGUUCCCCGCCUGGGGAGUACGGCCGCAAGGCUAAAACUCAAAGGAAUUGACGGGGACCCGCACAAGCGGCGGAGCAUGCGGAUUAAUUCGAUGCAACGCGAAGAACCUUACCAAGGCUUGACAUAUACGAGAACGGGCCAGAAAUGGUCAACUCUUU
rnacentral:rRNA from 1 species